UACGUAGGGUGCAGGCGUAAUCGGAAUUACUGGGCGUAAAGCGUGCGCAGGCGGUUUGCUAAGACAGGUGUGAAAUCCCCGGGCUCAACCUGGGAAUUGCAUUUGUGACUGCACGGCUAGAGUGUGUCAGAGGGGGGUAGAAUUCCACGUGUAGCAGUGAAAUGCGUAGAGAUGUGGAGGAAUACCGAUGGCGAAGGCAGCCCCCUGGGAUAACACUGACGCUCAUGCACGAAAGCGUGGGGAGCAAACAGG
rnacentral:rRNA from 1 species